AUUCCGGUUGAUCCUGACCGGAGGCCAUUGACUAUCGGAGUCCGAUUUAGCCAUGCUAGUCGUGCGAGUUCAGACUCGCGGCACCGAGCUCAGUAACACGUGGCCAAACUACCCUACAGAGACGGAUACCCUCGGGAAACUGAGGUUAACCCGUCAUACCGAUCUCAGGCUUGAAUCGCAGAGAUCACAAAACGCCCCGGCGCUGUAGGAUGUGGCUGCGGUUGAUUAGGUAGACGGUGGGGUAACGGCCCACCGUGACCCAUAAUCAGUACAGGUUGUGAGAGCAAGAACCUGGAGACGGAAUCUGAGACAAGAUUCCGGGCCCUACGGGGCGCAGCAGGCGCGAAACCUUUACACUGCACGCACGUGCGAUAAGGGGACUCCGAGUGCGAGGGCAUAUCGUCCUCGCUUUCGUGUACCGUAGGGUGGUACACCAACAAGGGCUGGGCAAGACCGGUGCCAGCCGCCGCGGUAAUACCGGCAGCCCGAGUGAUGGCCGAUCUUAUUGGGCCUAAAGCGUCCGUACU
rnacentral:rRNA from 1 species